AGGAAACAAAUGCAGACUUUUGAAAUGAGUAAUCAAAGUGAUGAUGCAAGACGAGCUUGGUGGAGUGCGGCGAGGGCAUCCAUAUUACUUGGAGGGGCCCAUGCUGCUGUGUCGAUAGUGAUUUUGGUGAUUACGAUACUUGUGUUAGUUGGUCAGGAGGCAGGAGACCAGAAGGGUGUGGGGUGGAUAUCUUAGUCCCCGAGGUUGAAGAACUUUGAAGACCCAUCUUUUUACGUUUGAAUUUUAAGCCCUGUAGCAGAUUGCAUUCCUGUUCUUUAUCUACUAUAUUUAUAAAUGUCAAUGCAGGAAUAUUACUAUUCAUAUGCUGUAAAGCACCUUAGUGAAAGUUUGCAAAUUAUAUAGGGCGCAAAACGAAUAAGGUAUAUGAUUAUUAAUUACUAUUAGCAAUAGCAACAGGUAUCUCUUUUGAUUUGUGGAGCAGUAAAUGAUACAAAAUUAAGACACUUUACAAAGAAGAAAUUGGAAAUUAAACAGUGCGCCUUUAAUUUCUUAAAUUCAAACAUGACAAUAAAGAAGUUUUACGCGAAUCCUCUAAUGAACCAAGACUAGUUCAGACCAAUAUGGGGAUUCCCAUAUUUGACCCCUAGCAUCAAAGAUGAGUUUCAGAAUUACGCACCAGCUGUAUGGUGACAGUAAUUUAUCUUUGACUUUGACGUUCAUAUUUCCAAAAGGAAAAAUGGCAUAUUCGUGUCUUACAUUCAUCUACCUACAUAUAUGGUAGAAGACUCUGCGUGUGGAUUUCUUAGUCCCGGAGGUUUGAUGGAACCUUGAUAGCAACAUGUUUCUCUUCUGCUUAGUCACUCGGUUCAUAAUAAACACACUUUGUUCAGUUUUAAAUUUGAAAUUAAUCAGUACUCCUCUAAUCUAAAAUGUACAUAACUUCAUUUAUAUUCAUUUUUGACCUCCUUGCAUCACCGAUGAGUCUUCUAAGGAUAAAACAACUGUAUGGAGCAGUGUAUGGCCCCCUAAUGCAUAAAUGUGUCUUAAUACAU